CCACAGGAGCCGCGAGGCGGCGUCCCUGGCUGGCAGCCGGGGUUGGUGUAGCCGCGUGGCGCCGUUCGACGCGGAACCUGCGGA
rnacentral:tRNA from 1 species